rnacentral:rRNA from 1 species
UACAGAGGGUGCAAGCGUUAAUCGGAUUUACUGGGCGUAAAGCGCGUGUAGGCGGCUUGGCAAGUUGGAUGUGAAAGCCCACGGCUCAACCGUGGAAGCGCAUCCAAAACUGCUUCGCUCGAGUCUCGGAGAGGAAGGUGGAAUGCUUGGUGUAGAGGUGAAAUUCGUAGAUAUCAAGCAGAACACCUGCGGCGAAGGCGGCCUUCUGGACGAUGACUGACGCUGAGACGCGAAAGCGUGGGGAGCAAACAGG